GGACGCAAGUCUGAUGGAGCAACGCCGCGUGAGUGAAGAAGGCUUUCGGGUCGUAAAACUCUGUUGUUGGAGAAGAAUGGUCGGCAGAGUAACUGUUGUCGGCGUGACGGUAUCCAACCAGAAAGCCACGGCUAACUACGUGCCAGCAGCCGCGGUAAUACGUAGGUGGCAAGCGUUAUCCGGAUUUAUUGGGCGUAAAGCGAGCGCAGGCGGUUUUUUAAGUCUGAUGUGAAAGCCCUCGGCUUAACCGAGGAAGUGCAUCGGAAACUGGGAAACUUGGAGUGCAGAAGAGGACAGUGGAACUCCAUGUGUAGCGGUGAAAUGCGUAGGAUAUAUGGAAGAACACCAGUGGCGAAGGCGGCUGUCUGGUCUGUAACUGACGCUGAGGCUCGAAAGCAUGGGUAGCGAACAGGAUUAGAUACCCUGGUAGUCCAUGCCGUAAACGAUGGAUGCUAGGUGUUGGAGGGUUUCCGCCCUUCAGUGCCGCAGCUAACGCAUUAAGCAUUCCGCCUGGGGAUUACGACCGCAAGGUUGAAACUCAAAGGAAUUGACGGGGGCCCGCACAAGCGGUGGAGCAUGUGGUUUAAUUCGAAGCAACGC
rnacentral:rRNA from 2 species